ACAUAUAUGUUGAUUAAUGGGAGCGCAGAAAUUCACGAAUAGGAAGGGAAAUUCAGCCUUCUUCAAACUUUGUUGGCUUCGCCAUCUGUUAUCCAAGAAGAGCUACUCUCCAGGGAUCAUAGGCAUUGGAGUAGUACACUACAACAACAAGAGGUGGGAAAUUAAACAACCUGACAGAUGGAAAACGUUCCAAGAAACCAUGAGGCUGAUAUAAAAAAUAAUUCCUCAGAAAAAGAACUGAUCGCGCUUACGGAAUGGAUUCAACGAUGCCAGUUUGACAUUGUGCGGUCCUAUUCUCAGCGUCCCUUGACAGAAGAGCGUAUUAUCUUCUGCACUGACCCCUUACUCCGUGAAGUAAAUAAAGAAGCCUACGGACCGAAUGUUGUCAUUAUUGGCCCUCUUUGUUGUAUCGAGCAAUUUUCAAACGACAUCCAAACGCAAAAGUUGAUAUAUAUGGACUCAUUUCUCAAGAGAGCUGAGAAGAAAGCUAGCUUGAAGGAUUUUUGUAAAUUGAUCAAAGACUCGGCAGACCGAAUCAAUGGUUGUUAUGAAAUAACCCAUUUCCGACUAUACGAUCGGUCCAGAAGUCAUAUGAAACAGGCAAAACCAUUCAGUUACAACGCUAAUUCCAGGCCUUUCAUUAAGAUGAUUGCAGAGGAUGCAAGCUUCAUCAUUGAACUCUUCUUGAGAGCCUAUAACAAGGAAUGGAGAGAGGAAAGGGAUUUUAUCUUCGAUGGGCCAGGGAAGAUGCACAAUAUCCGGCGAGACUUGUUCUUGGCUGAAAAUCAACUACCCUUCUUCAUUCUUAAAGGCCUAUAUGAACUUGCCUUUGCUGGUAAUCCCGUCUUCCCUUCCUUUCUUGAUCUUACCUGUCACUUCUUCCGCCCUUAUUACAACCAGCACACAUCCAUUCAGGCACCAAACGGUUGCCAUGGAAGAGCUAAGCUGAAAGACGCUAAACAUUUCACAGACUUGCUAAGAACCCUUCAGCUACCAUCAUCCAAAAGGCCAGAAGAAAGCCUAGAGGGGGGCGAAGUGCAAGGUGAAUAUUUAUACAGUGCAGUUCUGCUGCGUGAAGCAGGGGUGAAAUUUAAAGUGAGCACAAACAGAUGCUUACUCGACAUAGAAUUUAACCGAAACAGCGGAGAGUUGAAAAUCCCCCCUUUGAGACUUGAUGAGUUGACGGAAUCAUUUUUCCGAAACCUCAUGGCCUGGGAGCAACGCUACUAUCCACAUGAAACUCUCAUUUGUGACUAUAUUUUUGUAAUGGAAUAUCUCAUCCAGUCUACCGAAGACGUGGAUUUACUCGUUCGAAAAAGAAUUCUCAUCAACCAGCUUGGCAGCCAUAAAGCAGUGGUAACUUUAUUCAACAAAUUGUGCAAGCAUGUUGCUCCAAUGGAAACAAACCACUACUCUGAUAUUUUUAGGAAGCUCAAUGCUUACAAUGCAGUUCGCCAUCAUAGUUGGAUAGCAAUUCUCAAACUCCAGUAUUUCUCAACUCAAUGGAGCGGUGUUGCUACAAUUGCUGCAAUUGUCCUCCUUGUGCUUACUUUAAUACAAACCAUAUGUGCUGUCAUCUCCCUUUAGAUGUGUUGCAAGUAAUGCUUGCAUCGAGCCUAAGUGGAAAGCAUGACACGUGUGCUAUUGAGACAACAAUGGUCUUUGGUAUGCAUCUGCAUGGGAUCUCAACUUUGUGAAAGAGAUUGUAAGCACGAGGCAAUGUCACGGACCACAGUUUAGCACAUUGGAGGAGGCCGAAGGGUGUUUCGGAGUGCCGGCAUAUGGGGAGUAUUGCUAGGAGAGAACCCCCACUGGAUAGCAGAGGACAGGUACAGGCUGCCCAGCAGGAGAAAGCAACACAAGCCCCUAGACGAGCCAGCCCAUUCUAUAUGCAAGAAGAAGAAUCAUUUUGAAAGGUAUUGUUGGUAUGGACCCAAUGUUAAGUGCAGGGCAUGUAGAAAAAGUAUGUAAAGCAAAGAAGACUGAAUCUUCAACUCAAGCAACUAUAGUAGAAUAGGAAGACAAUGAUGAUAAGGUUUUGUUUAUGGUAAAAAUGGAGGAAGACUCAGAGAAGACCAAUAUGUGGCCGUUGGAUAGUGCUUGCUCUCACCAUCUCAUAAGUAACAAAGGUCUUUUCACUACUCUAGGUACUAGUUUUCAGUUUAAAGUCAAGAUAAAUGGUGGAAAUUUUUUGAAAAUACUUGGAGUUGGAACUGUGUGGGUUGAGACAGUUUCAGGAGAUAAGUAUAUUAACAGUGUGCAUUCUGUUCCAUAAGUUAACCAAAAUCUAUUGAGUGUUGGUCAACUAGUAGAAGAGCAUUUUGCCUUGCUGUUCAAAGAUCAGUUGUGCACAGUCUUGGAUCCACAUGGAGAAGAAUUGUUUAUUGUGGAGAUGAAGAAUUACUGUUAUCCACUGAAUCUAAUUGACACAACUCAUUUGGCUUUGCAUAAUGAACAUGAUCUGUCAAAAACUUGGCACAGAAGACUUGGGCAUGUCAACUAUACAUCUUUGUCACUUAAGGUAUCUAAAGGUAUCGUUGAAGGGUUACUUGCCAUCACUAAGCCAAACAAGCUUUGUCAAACCUGUUAGCUUGGUAAGCAAACUAGGAAAUGUUUUCCUAAAGUGAGUAAGUGGAAAGCAUCUAGAAAAUUAGAUUGGUUCAUAUUGAUCUUAGUGGACCAAUGAAGAAUCCUUUUUUGAAU